rnacentral:rRNA from 1 species
CAUGUAGGCGGUUAUCUAAGCUUGGUGUGAAAGGCAGGGGCUCAACUCCUGGACUGCAUUGAGAACUGGAUAACUAGAGUUACUGAAGUGAAAUCAGAAUUCCAGGUGUAGGGGUGAAAUCUGUAGAUAUCCGGAAGAAUACCAAUGGCGAAGGCAGGUUUCAGGCAGAUAACUGACGCUGAGGUGCGAAGGUGCGGGGAGCAAACA